AUUGAACGCUGGCGGCAUGCCUUACACAUGCAAGUCGAACGGCAGCACGGGUGCUUGCACCUGGUGGCGAGUGGCGAACGGGUGAGUAAUACAUCGGAACGUACCUUAUCGUGGGGGAUAACGCAGCGAAAGCUGUGCUAAUACCGCAUACGCCCUGAGGGGGAAAGCGGGGGAUCGCAAGACCUCGCGCGAUUAGAGCGGCCGAUGCCUGAUUAGCUUGUUGGUGGGGUAAAAGCCCACCAAGGCGACGAUCAGUAGCUGGUCUGAGAGGACGAUCAGCCACACUGGGACUGAGACACGGCCCAGACUCCGACGGGAGGAAGCAGUGGGGAAUUUUGGACAAUGGGGGCAACCCUGAUCCAGCAAUGCCGCGUGAGUGAAGAAGGCCUUCGGGUUGUAAAGCUCUUUUGUCAGGGAAGAAACACCGGCUCUAACACAGUCCGGGAAUGACGGUACCUGAAGAAUAAGCACCGGCUAACUACGUGCCAGCAGCCGCGGUAA
rnacentral:rRNA from 1 species